rnacentral:rRNA from 1 species
GACGAACGCUGGCGGCGUGCCUAAUACAUGCAAGUCGAGCGGACUGAAUGGGAGCUUGCUCUUGUUCGGUCAGCGGCGGACGGGUGAGUAACACGUGGGCAACCUGCCCGCAAGACCGGGAUAACUCCGGGAAACCGGAGCUAAUACCGGAUAACACCGAAGACCGCAUGGUCUUUGGUUGAAAGGCGGCGCAAGCUGCCACUUGCGGAUGGGCCCGCGGCGCAUUAGCUAGUUGGUGAGGUAACGGCUCACCAAGGCGACGAUGCGUAGCCGGCCUGAGAGGGUGACCGGCCACACUGAGACUGAGACACGGCCCAGACUCCUACGGGAGGCAGCAGUAGGGAAUCUUCCGCAAUGGGCGAAAGCCUGACGGAGCGACGCCGCGUGAGCGAAGAAGGCCUUCGGGUCGUAAAGCUCUGUUGUGAGGGACGAAGGAGCGCCGUUUGAAGAAGGCGGCGCGGUGACGGUACCUCACGAGGAAGCCCCGGCUAACUACGUG